CCCAGAUUACUGCAGAAACCCAUCCCCUUCACUGAACUCCCUGACCUCCAGACUGAGUCCUUGUGCUUCCUGUCUGAUCUGCCACUUGCAUAAACCCCAUCUUUCAGCUCCUCUUAGGAGGAUGCUCAAUGCUCAAAGCUAUUUUCAGUCCCGAUACAGGGAAGGAAUGCAUACAGACACCAACGUGAUCUUCUUCACACCGGUUUACCAAUGAUUUCAACCUUGACCCAAAGGGAACACUUCUUCUGGAAGUGACAGGGAAUCUUCCAGCUGUAUCAGGAAGACCUUCACAAGAAGAUUCCUCCCUGCAUUUCUCCCAGGCUUACAUUUGUCGCCAUACCAAAGACAUACCAGUGUUAAAUAUAUAAUUUCUUUUCUUGGCAAUUUUAGAAGCUUCUCCCUCAAGAAAUCUUGGAGGCAGAUUCCUUUCAACUCAAGGACGGGCAGAUUUUAUCCAUUAAAGAUGGGAUGUAAAUGGAGGCAACCUUCCACAACAUCCUCCCCUCCCCACAUAUACAUACAUUUCCAGCCUGGUUUCUGGAGUGCAGACAGAGAAUCUCAUUAGGAAUCUAAUAUAAUAAGGGCAUGUAGAUACUGGGGUUGGGGGUUGGAAAUCAGAUUAGCUUCAUUACUUUAUUCUGCACCUCACAGCGCUUCUGCCAGUGGACAAUUGCAUUAGAUCAGAGAGGAGAUCAAAAGGCAAAAACUCCCCAGAAAUGCUGCUGCUCACUGUCUGAGACAGGAAUGGAAAAAGUGCACUGUUGGAGGACACAGACCCACGGUAGAUACCUGACACAUUUUGGAAGGGCAGUAAUUUUUUUCUUUGAACUUUGCCUAUUGAGCUUUUGGUGCUUGCUAGGCCAGUCUAGAUUCCAAUGCACAGAGACAUGAAGGAAACUAAACAACUUGUUCAAGUGUAAGCAAGUAG
rnacentral:lncRNA from 1 species